rnacentral:tRNA from 1 species
GAGGGUAUAGCUCAGUGAUAGAGUGCAUGCUUAGCAUGCAUGAGGUCCUGGGUUCAAUCCCCAGUCCCUCA